rnacentral:rRNA from 1 species
UAACUUUCAACAACGGAUCUCUUGGUUCUUGCAUCGAUGAAGAACGCAGCGAAAUGCGAUACGUAAUGUGAAUUGCAGAAUUCAGUGAAUCAUCGAAUCUUUGAACGCACCUUGCGCCCCUUGGUAUUCCGAGGGGCAUGCCUGUUUGAGUGUCAUUA